GACGAACGCUGGCGGCGUGCCUAAUACAUGCAAGUAGAACGCUGAAGGAGGAGCUUGCUCUUCUGGAUGAGUUGCGAACGGGUGAGUAACGCGUAGGUAACCUGCCUGGUAGCGGGGAUAACUAUUGGAAACGAUAGCUAAUACCGCAUAACAGUAGAUGUUGCAUGACAUUUGCUUAAAAGGUGCAAUUGCACCACUACCAGAUGGACCUGCGUUGUAUUAGAUAGUUGGUGGGGUAACGGCUCACCAAGGCGACGAUACAUAGCCGACCUGAGAGGGUGAUCGGCCACACUGGGACUGAGACACGGCCCAGACUCCUACGGGAGGCAGCAGUAGGGAAUCUUCGGCAAUGGACGGAAGUCUGACCGAGCAACGCCGCGUGAGUGAAGAAGGUUUUCGGAUCGUAAAGCUCUGUUGUAAGAGAAGAACGAGUGUGAGAGUGGAAAGUUCACACUGUGACGGUAUCUUACCAGAAAGGGACGGCUAACUACGUG
rnacentral:rRNA from 1 species